rnacentral:ncRNA from 1 species
CCGUCUUGAAACACGGAUUACGGAGUGUUUGUCUGCUGCGAGUCAAAGGGUGUAAAAACCUUGCGGCGCAAUGAAAGUGAAGGUUAGUCUCGAACUGACCGACGUGGGAUCCGUGCUCUUCGGAGUGCGGCGCACCACGGCCCUAUGCGUGUCACUUGUGACUGUGUAGAGGUUGAGCAGUAGGCAAGCGACCCGAAAGAUGGUGAACUAUGCCUGAGCAGGAUGAAGCCAGAGGAAACUCUGGUGGAAGUCCGUAUCGGUUCUGACGUGCAAAUCGAUCGAUAGACUUGGGUAUAGGGGCGAAAGACUAAUCGAACCAUCUAGUAGCUGGUUCCUUCCGAAGUUUCCCUCAGGAUAGCUGGAACUCUUGCAGUUAUAUUCGGUAAAGCUAAUGAUUAGAGGCCUUGGGGACGUAAUGUCCUCAACCUAUUCUCAAACUUUCAAUGGAUAUGGCGUCGCAGUUUCUUUAGUGAACUGCGGCGUGAAUGCGAGUUCCAAGUGGGCCAUUUUUGGUAAGCAGAACUGGCGCUGUGGGAUGAACCAAACGUGGAGUUAAGGUGCCUAACUUCUCGCUUUAUGAGACCCCAUAAAAGGUGUUGGUUGAUAUUGACAGCAGGACGGUGGCCAUGGAAGUCGGUACCCGCUAAGGAGUGUGUAACAACUCACCUGCCGAAUCAACUAGCCCUGAAAAUGGAUGGCGCUUAAGCGAGAGACCUAUACUCCGCCGUCGCGGCAUGUGCGUUGUCUAGCGCCAGGUCGCGACGAGUAGGAAGGACGUGGCGGUUGCGUUGAAGGCUAUGAGCGUAGGCUCGGCUGGAGCUUCCGUCAGUGCAGAUCGUAAUGGUAGUAGCAAAUAUUCAAGUUCGAUCCUUGAAGACUGAAGUGGAGAAGGGUUCCACGUGAACAGUAGUUGGAUGUGGGUCAGUCGAUCCUAAGGUACUGGCGAAAGCCUUGUAUCAUCGGUGGCGAAAAGCUUGCUUUUUGUCCCCGCCCGUCGAAAGGGAAUAGGGUUAAUAUUCCCUAACUGAGAUGCAAAGAUUGUGUUCUUCGGAGCACAAGCGCGGUAACGCGUUCGAACUUGGUAAGUCGCUCAGAGACCGAGCUAGAGUUUUCUUCUCUAGUUAAGGAACGGACUCCCUGGAAUUGGUU